GUUCGCCAGUAUGUCGCCGCUGGUGGCGUGGAUACGACUUACGAGUGUGUAAGAUGUUAAUAUUAGUCAUAUUUUUAUAUGUACUUUAAUUUGUUCAAAUUCAUUUUUCAGCAUAACCUACAUAUUAGAGGUGAUGACAUAGUGCUAGUAAUACUGUCUCUGAUAUACAGUAAUGUACCUUGAAAUGCUCCAUCAACCAUACAAAACAAACACUCCUGAGAGAAAUGCGUUGUAUCUUUAGAAACUGCAUGAAGAGAUAUUGCAGGAUAUUCUAGAGAGAAUCCUUGACCUGUUGAAUCACACCAUGACAGUUUC